AGUUCGAUUAUGGCUCGAUUGAACGCUGGCGGGAUGCUUUACACAUGCAAGUCGAACGGCGGCACGGACUUCGGUCUGGUGGCGAGAGUGGCGAACGGGUGAGUAAUGUAUCGGAACGUGCCUAGUAGCGGGGGGUAACUGCGCGAAAGCGUAGCUAAUACCGCAUACGCCCUUCGGGGAAAGCGGGGACCUUCGGGCCUCGCACUAUUAGAAACAGCCGAUAUCGGAUUAGCCAGUUGGUGGGGUAACGGCUCACCAAGGCGACGAUCCAUCGCUGGUUUGAGAGGACGACCAACCACACUGGGACUGAGACACGGCCCAGACUCCUACGGGAGGCAGCAGUGGGGAAUUUUGGACAAUGGAAACCUGAUCCAGCCAUCCCGCGUGUGCGAUGAAGGCCUUCGGGUUGUAAAGCACUUUUGGCGGAAAACGGCACGGGAUAAUACCCCGUGCAACUGACGGUACCUGCAGAAUAAGCACCGGCUAACUACGUGCCAGCAGCCGCGGUAAUACGUAGGGUGCAAGCGUUAAUCGGAAUUACUGGGCGUAAAGCGUGCGCAGGCGGUUCGGAAAGAAAGAUGUGAAAUCCCAGAGCUUAACUUUGGAACUGCAUUUUAACUACCGAGCUAGAGUGUCAGAGGGAGGUGGAAUUCCGCGUGUAGCAGUGAAAUGCGUAGAUAUGCGGAGGAACACCGAUGGCGAAGGCAGCCUCCUAAGGAUAACACUGACGCUCAUGCACGAAAGCGUGGGAGCAAACAGGGAUUAAGAUACCCUGGUGGUCCACGCCCUAAACGUCAACUAACUGUAGGGCCUUCGGGCCUUGUUGUACAGCUAACGCGUGAAGUUGACCGCCUGGGGAAUUACGGUCGCAAGAUUCAGAAACUCAAGGAAUUGACGGGGACCCGCACAAGCGGUGGAUGAUCAACUUCUGGUUAAUUCGAUGCAACGCGAAAAACCUUACCUACCCUUGACAUGUCUGGAAUCCCGAAGAGAUUUGGGAGUGCUCGCAAGAGAACCGGAACACAGGUGCUGCAUGGCUGUCGUCAGCUCGUGUCGUGAGAUGUUGGGUUAAGUCCCGCAGCGGGCGGCCCUUGUCAUUGGAUUGCUACGAAAGGACACUCUAAUGGGGCUUACCGGUGGCAAACCGGAGGAAGGUGGGGAUGACGUCAAGUCCUCAUGGCCCUUAUGGGUAGGGCUUCACACGUCAUACAAUGAGUCGGGACAGAGGGUCGCCAACCGCGAGGAGACAAUCCCAGAAACCCGAUCGUAGUCGGAUCGCAGUCUGCAACUCAUUUGCGUGAAGUCAGAAUCGCUGGCGUCUUGGAUCGACGCCAUGCGGUAGAAUGCGUUCCCGGGUCUUGUACACACCGCCCGUCACCAUGGGAGUGGGUUUUACCAGAAAUGGAUUAGCCUAACCGUAAGGAGGCGAUUACCACGGUAGGAUUCAUGACUGGGGUGAAGUCGUAACAAGGUAG
rnacentral:rRNA from 1 species